rfam:Arabidopsis thaliana chromosome 1, complete sequence.
UCGUUUAAUCAUUGAUGAUAGACUAAGAAAAUUAGGGUUUUUUAUUUUUGGUUUUUGAUAAAGAGAAAGAUGCCUCUUCUUUCAGCAGCAAGAUUAUUCUUGUUAGCUUUGUUCUGGAGGCACAGAU